AGGGCUGUAGCUUUGUGGUAGAGCAUUUGUUUUGCAUGCAAAACUUCCCAGGUUCAAUCCCGGACAAUUCCA